CGGGUGCACUGAUCCAGCCGGGCCUUUCCCUCUGUGGAACCCCAUGGCCUUCACUGGCUGUGGCGGGGAAACAGGACUUUUACUUUGAAAAAAUUAGAGUGCUCCAGGCAGGCCUAUGCUCGAAUACAUUAGCAUGGAAUAAUAAAAUAGGACGUGUGGUUCUAUUUUGUUGGUUUCUAAGACCGCCGUAAUGAUUAAUAGGGACAGUCGGGGGCAUCAAUAUUCAAUUGUCAGAGGUGAAAUUCUUGGAUCUAUUGAAGACUAACUACUGCGAAAGCAUUUGCCCAAGGAUGUUUUCAUUGAUAAGGAACGAAAGUUAGGGGAUCGAAGACGAUCAGAUACCGUCGUAGUCUUAACUAUAAACUAUGCCGACUAGGGAUCGGACGAUGUUAUUCUUUGACGCGUUCGGCACCUUUCGAGAAAUCAAAGUGCUUGGGCUCCAGGGGGAGUAUGGUCGCAAGGCUGAAACUUAAAGAAAUUGACGGAAGGGCACCACCAGGGGGUGGGAACCUGCGGCUUAAUUUGACUCAACACGGGGAAACUCACCAGGUCCAGACACAGUGAGGAUUGACAGAUUGAGAGCUCUUUCUUGAUUCUGUGGGUGGUGGUGCAUGGCCGUUCUUAGUUGGUGGAGUGAUUUGUCUGCUUAAUUGCGAUAACGAACGAGACCUUAACCUGCUAAAUAGCCCGUACUGCUUUGGCAGUUCGCCGGCUUCUUAGAGGGACUAUCGG
rnacentral:rRNA from 1 species